UCGAGGGGAAACGAUAGAGAAAGCUUGCUUUUUCUAGGCGUCGACCGGCGCACGGGUGAGUAACGCGUAUCCAACCUGCCCAUCACUUGGGGAUAACCUUGCGAAAGUAAGACUAAUACCCAAUGAUGUCCAUAGAAGACGUCUGAAAUGGAUUAAAGAUUUAUCGGUGAUGGAUGGGGAUGCGUCUGAUUAGCUUGUUGGCGGGGUAACGGCCCACCAAGGCGACGAUCAGUAGGGGUUCUGAGAGGAAGGUCCCCCACAUUGGAACUGAGACACGGUCCAAACUCCUACGGGAGGCAGCAGUGAGGAAUAUUGGUCAAUGGACGAGAGUCUGAACCAGCCAAGUAGCGUGCAGGAUGACGGCCCUAUGGGUUGUAAACUGCUUUUAUAAGGGAAUAAAGUGAGAGUCGUGACUCUUUUUGCAUGUACCUUAUGAAUAAGGACCGGCUAAUUCCGUGCCAGCAGCCGCGGUAAUACGGAAGGUCCGGGCGUUAUCCGGAUUUAUUGGGUUUAAAGGGAGCGUAGGCCGGAGAUUAAGCGUGUUGUGAAAUGUAGACGCUCAACGUCUGCACUGCAGCGCGAACUGGUUUCCUUGAGUACGCGCAAAGUGGGCGGAAUUCGUGGUGUAGCGGUGAAAUGCUUAGAUAUCACGAAGAACUCCGAUUGCGAAGGCAGCUCACUGGAGCGCAACUGACGCUGAAGCUCGAAAGUGCGGGUAUCGAACAGGAUUAGAUACCCUGGUAGUCCGCACGGUAAACGAUGGAUGCCCGCUGUUGGUCUGAAUAGGUCAGCGGCCAAGCGAAAGCAUUAAGCAUCCCACCUGGGGAGUACGCCGGCAACGGUGCAACUCAAAUGAAUUGACGGA
rnacentral:rRNA from 1 species